UGAACGCUAGCGGCAGGCCUAACACAUGCAAGUCGAACGGCAGCACAGUCUAGCUUGCUAGACAGGUGGCGAGUGGCGAACGGGUGAGUAACGCGUAGGAAUAUGCCUUAAAGAGGGGGACAACUUGGGGAAACUCAAGCUAAUACCGCAUACACUCUGAGGAGUAAAGCUAGGGACCUUCGGGCCUGGCGCUUUAAGAAUAGCCUGCGUCUGAUUAGCUAGUUGGUGAGGUAAAGGCAUCACCAAGGCGACGAUCAGUAGCUGGUCUGAGAGGAUGGACAGCCACACUGGGACUGAGACACGGCCCAGACUCCUACGGGAGGCAGCAGUGGGGAAUAUUGGACAAUGGGGGGAACCCUGAUCCAGCAAUGCCGCGUGUGUGAAGAAGGCCUGAGGGUUGUAAAGCACUUUCAGUGGGAGGAGGAUAUGUAGGUUAAGAGCUGACAUA
rnacentral:rRNA from 1 species